rnacentral:misc_RNA from 1 species
UUUUUUUUUUUUUAAAAUAUAAGAAAUAAAUAUGAGAUAAAAUAGAUACUUAUAAUCUCAACAAAGGAAACACCAACAAAACCAAAGAUCUCGCUAACCAAACACCAAAUACGAACAGAUUCUUGAACAUCAAAAUGGGUUUGAGUCUCUUGAACAUCAAAAUAUAGCAAACUCAUCCUAUACGCCAAGCUCUUACUAGCCAAAGACCUCGCUGAUGCACUCAUGCACAUCUACCAGCAAUCCCCAAAUGGGCUUGUGUCGUGAGUCUUGGUUUGAGGGAAGAGGCGUGAAGACGAGGGAGAUGCAGGUGGCGAUGUCGAAGGAGAAGAAAAAUGAUGAAAUUAAGGAGCCUAGUCAUAGAUUCUGUGUUAAGCCAGUGAGGAGCGUGAAGAAGAAAUUUAUGAGCACAAGAAGAACAGAAUAAGAAGAGGAGGAGGAAGACCAGCAAAUAUGCAGUUGCGAAAGAGAGGCAACGUAAGUGCUAAGGGGGAA